UAAAUACUAAUACCAGAUCGAUAGUGCACAAGUACCGUGAGGGAAAGGUGAAAAGAACUGAGGUGAUCAGAGUGAAAUAGAACCUGAAACCAUUUGCUUACAAUCAUUCAGAGCCCUAUGUAGCAAUACAGGGUGAUGGACUGCCUUUUGCAUAAUGAGCCUGCGAGUUGUGGUGUCUGGCAAGGUUAAGCAAACGCGAAGCCGUAGCGAAAGCGAGUCUGAAUAGGGCGCUUAGUCAGAUGCUGCAGACCCGAAACGAAGUGAUCUAUCCAUGAGCAAGUUGAAGCUAGUGUAAGAACUAGUGGAGGACUGAACCCAUAGGCGUUGAAAAGCCCCGGGAUGACUUGUGGAUAGGGGUGAAAGGCCAAUCAAACUUCGUGAUAGCUGGUUCUCUCCGAAAUAUAUUUAGGUAUAGCGUUGUGUCGUAAUAUAAGGGGGUAGAGCACUGAAUGGGCUAGGGCAUACACCAAUGUACCAAACCCUAUCAAACUCCGAAUACCUUAUAUGUAAUCACAGCAGUCAGGCGGCGAGUGAUAAAAUCCGUCGUCAAGAGGGAAACAACCCAGACUACCAGCUAAGGUCCCUAAAUCUUACUUAAGUGGAAAACGAUGUGAAGUUACUUAAACAACCAGGAGGUUGGCUUAGAAGCAGCCAUCCUUUAAAGAAAGCGUAAUAGCUCACUGGUCUAGUGAUUUUGCGCGGAAAAUAUAACGGGGCUAAAGUAAGUACCGAAGCUGUAGACUUGCGCACAACUUAGAUUAUUUAAGUUUAGAAUAUGAGAAACUAAGUUAUAUGUUUAGUUAUAUUUUUACUGAUUUUUAUAGAGUAAAGAUAGAAAUAAAACUUAGUAAAAUCAGUAAAAAUAUUCUUAGACUAAAGUUAAGUAGUUUAAGUUGUGUGCAAGUGGUAGGAGAGCGUUCUAUUUGCGUCGAAGGUAUACCGGUAAGGAGUGCUGGAGCGAAUAGAAGUGAGCAUGCAGGCAUGAGUAGCGAUAAUUAAUGUGAGAAUCAUUAACGCCGUAAACCCAAGGUUUCCUACGCGAUGCUCGUCAUCGUAGGGUUAGUCGGGUCCUAAGUCGAGUCCGAAAGGGGUAGACGAUGGCAAAUUGGUUAAUAUUCCAAUACCAACAUUAGUGUGCGAUGGAAGGACGCUUAGGGCUAAGGGGGCUAGCGGAUGGAAGUGCUAGUCUAAGGUCGUAGGAGGUUAUACAGGCAAAUCCGUAUAACAAUACUCCGAGAACUGAAAGGCUUUUUGAAGUCUUCGGAUGGAUAGAAGAACCCCUGAUGCCGUCGAGCCAAGAAAAGUUUCUAAGUUUAGCUAAUGUUGCCCGUACCGUAAACCGACACAGGUGGGUGGGAUGAGUAUUCUAAGGCGCGUGGAAGAACUCUCUUUAAGGAACUCUGCAAAAUAGCACCGUA
rnacentral:rRNA from 1 species